GUUGACCUCGAAUCAGGUAGGGAUACCCGCUGAACUUAAGCAUAU
rnacentral:rRNA from 1 species